GCGGAUUUAGCUCAGUUGGGAGAGCGCCAGACUGAAGUAUACUUCGGUCAAAAGAAAUCUGGAGGUCGUGUGUUCGAUCCACACAAUUCGCA
rnacentral:tRNA from 1 species